UACGAAGGGAGCUAGCGUUGUUCGGAAUCACUGGGCGUAAAGCGCACGUAGGCGGAUGUGUCAGUCAGGGGUGAAAUCCCGGAGCUCAACUUCGGAACUGCCCUUGAUACAGCACGUCUUGAGUCCGGAAGAGGUGGGUGGAAUUCCCAGUGUAGAGGUGAAAUUCGUAGAUAUUAGGAAGAACACCGGUGGCGAAGGCGGCCCACUGGUCCGGUACUGACGCUGAGGUGCGAAAGCGUGGGGAGCGAACAGG
rnacentral:rRNA from 1 species